CAUGCCAGUGAGCUCUAGGCCCACCAGCCACGAAAUCGACACAAGUUUCGGAAAAAGAGAGUAAGAUCACAAAGAAAACGAGGAAAUAUCUCUUUUUCAGUUUUUUUGGAAACGUACGUGCUUAGCUGCACGAAAAAUUGCACAGCAAAUAAAAGUGCUAUUAUGUGGUCACCGUGUCAACUGUGGUCCAUGCUCUGGUCUUUUUAUAGAAGGGCUUAAUAGGCUACACACUCAAUGCUGCUUAGCAGAUUUGAGGCCCUAACCAUCCAUCAUAUCAACAAGAUAUGCAAGUUUGGCUUGUGCUGCGAUUAACCUGUCAUCAACAAUAUCAGUAUCUUGGAUAAACAUCAUCCUGUUUGAUUAAAGAAACUACAGAUGUCGAUGUGAAUUACGUCUCCCUUCUUCCCCUUUCUUUAAAUGCCCUCGUGUACACUCAUGCGAGUGUGGGGGUAUUCACGAGGGCCCCUUCUCUUCUUUUCCCUUUUUUCGUAUCCUGCGGUUCUGCCUGGUGGAUUCAACUUUUCUACGGAUGGAGCACUAAUGGA